rnacentral:rRNA from 1 species
ACUCAAAUGAAUAGACGGGGACUUGCACAAGUAGUGGAUUAUGUGGUUUAAUUCGACGAUAAACGAAGAACCUUACCAAGGUUAGAAAUCAACGUGAAAGCUCUAAGAAACUAGAGCCCUCGCAAGACUAGUUGACAGGUGAUGCAUGGCCGUCGUCAGUUCGUGGUUUGAAUUGUUCCCUUAAGUGGGGUAACGAACGCAACCCUCGUCGUGUGUUAUAAGUGUCACACGAGACUGCCCCGACCUAAGUUUUUGAAAUUAUUUUAUUUCGAAAUUUUAGGUCGGGGAGGAAGGAGAGGAUGACGCCAGGUCAGCAUGUCCCUUGAUACCUUGGGCUACACACAUAAUACAAUCGCAAUUACAGCGGGCAGCGACGGGGUAACCCUGAGCGAAUCCUUCAAAAAUUGCGCCAGUUCGGAUUGGGGGCUGCAACUCGACCCCAUGAAGUUGGAAUUACUAGUAAUCGCGGGUCAGACAUACCGCGGUGAAUACGUUCUCAAGUCUUGUACACACCGCCCGU